CAUUCUUCACUAGUUAAAGUGAACAUAUCAAGGAUAGACUCGGGAAGGGAAAUGGGAUUUACAACUACCGGUUACUGGGCAGAAGACCAAAGAGAGAGCAUUCGUCACUAAUUAUAGUGAACAUAUCAAGGAUAAACUCAAAGGUAAAUAGGAUUUACAACUAUCGGUUACUGUGCAGAAUACCAAAGAGAGAGAAAAUUUGUCACCGGUUAAAGUGAAC
rnacentral:lncRNA from 1 species